ACACAUGCAAGUCGAACGAGAAUCUACUGAAAGAGUUUUCGGACAAUGGAUGUAGAGGAAAGUGGCGGACGGGUGAGUAACGCGUGAGGAACCUGCCUUGAAGAGGGGGACAACAGUUGGAAACGACUGCUAAUACCGCAUGACGCAUAGAGGUCGCAUGAUCUUUAUGCCAAAGAUUUAUCGCUUCAAGAUGGCCUCGCGUCUGAUUAGCUAGUUGGCGGGGUAACGGCCCACCAAGGCGACGAUCAGUAGCCGGACUGAGAGGUUGAACGGCCACAUUGGAACUGAGAUACGGCCCAGACUCCUACGGGAGGCAGCAGUGGGGAAUAUUGGGCAAUGGGCGCAAGCCUGACCCAGCAACGCCGCGUGAAGGAAGAAGGCUUUCGGGUUGUAAACUUCUUUUAAGAGGGAAGAGCAGAAGACGGUACCUCUAGAAUAAGCCACGGCUAACUACGUGCCAGCAGCCGCGGUAAUACGUAGGUGGCAAGCGUUGUCCGGAUUUACUGGGUGUAAAGGGCGUGCAGCCGGGUCUGCAAGUCAGAUGUGAAAUCCAUGGGCUCAACCCAUGAACUGCAUUUGAAACUGUAGAUCUUGAGUGUCGGAGGGGCAAUCGGAAUUCCUAGUGUAGCGGUGAAAUGCGUAGAUAUUAGGAGGAACACCAGUGGCGAAGGCGGAUUGCUGGACGAUAACUGACGGUGAGGCGCGAAAGUGUGGGGAGCAAACAGGAUUAGAUACCCUGGUAGUCCACACUGUAAACGAUGAAUACUAGGUGUGCGGGGACUGACCCCCUGCGUGCCGCAGUAAACACAAUAAGUAUUCCACCUGGGGAGUACGAUCGCA
rnacentral:rRNA from 1 species